UCUAUUUGGCAUGUCUUAUUAUGUUUCUUAACCUAAGUCCUUUGUUUCUCCCAAAUCACAGGUUUGUGUGCUGAAAAUGCCCAUUCACCAUGAGGACCGUGUGGACAACAUCAGGCGGCUCAUUCAGGAUAAUAUAGCAGGUUUUAGUAGGGUAAGCAUUGAUGAUCAGGAGCAGGGGAAGUUGACGGUGACGGUGGUGCAUAACGAUUUCAGCUUAUCCAACAUCAUUUUCAUUGAGGAGGUGGGAACAAAACUUUGCCAGACGGUUGAACUGUUAGAUUAUUAUUGAUUGUAGCAUGUAUAAUAGCGGGAAUUGCAGUUAUAGUAGUCUGUCUCCUACUCAGGAGCCGAUAGGCAUUAAUCCGCUGUUGAAUGGCUGAUUACCUACCAUGAAAAACUGACAAAGUUAUAAAAGCCAAAAAAAA